rnacentral:tRNA from 1 species
GCCAGCGUGGCUUAGCGGCUAUAGCGUCUGACUUGUAAUCAGAUGAUCGAGAGUUCAAAUCUCUCCGUUGGCU